GUUGCCUCUCAUGCCUCGUUCCCGCACUACCGUACUCCUGACGUCUACCUCCCAUGUACCGACCAACGCCUGUCUCCCGACCUACCCCAAUUUUGACACAUGAGGAAAAAAACAUCGGCACACCCCUACAGCCAAAGGACCUACGUAUAUUGACCUGGCAGGCAAUCGCGACGGAGCGUCGGAGGGGCGUGCAAAUCACGAUCGGCGAGCUCUCUGGAGUGGAAUUCUUCACACUUGAACCCUGAUGAACAGUUUAGAAUAGAGCAGAGGCUGGUGAGCUCCGACGCCACACAGCUGAAGCCACCCAAGAAAUAACAAUGUCAUGCUGAAUUACACAUGGCGCAUAUUGAGUCUUACACUGAAAAGUAGUAUUUUUAAACUUAAUGUUUUUUUACAUUUAUGCUGGAAAAAUUAUGACUUCAUUUCAUAAAAUGACCUUUUCUGUUA